rnacentral:rRNA from 1 species
GAUGAACGCUGGCGGUGUGCCUAACACAUGCAAGUCGUACGAAAAGAAAUUUUUAGUGGCGAACGGGUGAGUAACGCGUGAGAAUCUGCUCUUAUGGUAGAGGAUAACAAUUAGAAAUAGUUGCUAAAACUCUAUAUGCUUUUUAAUGAAGUAAAAAAGAAAUUUGCCUAAGAAGGAGCUCGCGUCUGAUUAGCUAGUUGGUAAGGUAACGGCCUACCAAGGCGAUGAUCAGUAGCUGGUCUGAGAGGAUGAUCAGCCACACUGGAACUGAGACACGGUCCAGACUCCUACGGGAGGCAGCAGUGAGGAAUUUUCUGCAAUGGGCGAAAGCCUGACAGAGCAACACCGCGUGAGGGACGACGGCCUUCGGGUUGU